GACGAACGCUGGCGGCGUGCUUAACACAUGCAAGUCGAACGGAAAGGCCCUGCUUUUGUGGGGUGCUCGAGUGGCGAACGGGUGAGUAACACGUGAGUAACUUGCCCUUGACUUUGGGAUAACUUCAGGAAACUGGGGCUAAUACCGGAUAGGAGCUCCUGCUGCAUGGUGGGGGUUGGAAAGUUUCGGCGGUUGGGGAUGGACUCGCGGCUUAUCAGCUUGUUGGUGGGGUAGUGGCUUACCAAGGCUUUGACGGGUAGCCGGCCUGAGAGGGUGACCGGCCACAUUGGGACUGCGAUACGGCCCAGACUGCUACGGGAGGCAGCAGUGGGGAAUAUUGCACAGUGGGCGGAAGCCUGAGGCAGCAACGCCGCGUGCGGGAUGACGGCCUUCGGGUUGUAAACCGCUUUCGCCUGUGACGAAGCGUGAGUGACGGUAAUGGGUAAAGAAGCACCGGCUAACUACGUG
rnacentral:rRNA from 1 species